AGUCUCCCAGCAGUCUAGGCCUAUAGCAGCAUAACUAAGGGAUGGUUCAGGACUCACCUGAGCCAGCCCUAACUAUAAGCUUUAUCACAGAGGAAAGUCUUAAGCCUACUCUUAAAUGUGGAGAUGUGUUGAUCACAUGCUCUCAACAGAACAUGUGAUAAUGAGUUUCAUGGAUUUAUGUUAUACUGUGACCAAGGAAAAUACUCGUCUCUGAUUGGCUGAUAUGUAUAUGACGACAAACACAUUUUUACAGUCAUUACAUAAGCUUCAAAAGUAUUCUGUAUGUUCUUUAUUAGUUUGUUUUAAAGCUAGAGCCGCAGGGAUGAACCGAUGAGUCUGCUGGCUGGAAAAAAACAAACGAGUUUUAGGAAACUGUUUUGCACAUUUUUCACUUUUAGACCAAACGAUGAACUGAGAAAACAACGGACAGAUGAAUGGAUGAUGAGAAUAAGCGUUAGUUGCAGCCUUAUGUUGAGCACAGUGUCCCUCAGCCGUCUGUAGAAAACAUCCUGCUUUCUGUCUUCAAACACUGACUGGAAGUCAGUAGCACUCUGUGCUGUACCUGUCAGUGCUGCGAGCAGAGGCUCCUGAGCAGCUGAUCCGCUCCGGGUUUUCCCAGCAGCCCCCACGGUGGCUCUCUAGCCUCGUAGUAAACAAGAGAACCACGUGGGUAGGAGCUGGAUGCUGAUUGGUGGAGCUCAGCCGUGCAGGAACACACCCCACUGAGGUCUGUUGUUUACUGACUUUCUGCACUCAAACACACUGAACGUAACUGACCCACUGCUGGUGCACACUGCACACCACACCCCCAUAACCCUCCCAUAACACCCUCAUAACGCUCCCAUAACCCUCCUGUAACCCUCCCGUAACACUCCUGUAACCCUCCUGUAACACUCCUGCAACACUCCCAUAACACCCCCAUAACGCUCCCAUAACCCUCCUGUAACCCUCCUGUAACACUCCUGUAACCAAUAACCAUCCAAUAACCCCCCCCCUCCCCCUCCUGUGAUGUCGCCGUGUACUGUCUGCCCGUCUGAGGCGACCGUGUGCUGCGUUUAUUCUGCACGGUGCUCCGGCGGAGAGCAGUCAGCCGCAGGACCGCGCGAUGUUAGGCGGAAACGGGCUGAAAUGCUCCCGGGGUGCGGGAGCGCUGAAGAGAGCCGUCUGCAGACCCCGAUGCGGUUUGAACCACAGAGUGUUGGAGCGGCUUUGCAGGGUCCCCCAUCAGCGAUGGACUCUGUGUGGACUCCCCUGAUUGAGUCACAGUCUGAGCCUCUCCAGAAGUCGGCGGCAGCUGUUCGUGAGUUCAAGCUUAGCCUCGUUCUGACGUAGUUUAGGAUUAGUUUACAGCCAUGGUUAGUCAUAUAAUGUCUUCCGGGGCUCUGGAGGAGCUUUGUUCAGUUUGAGAAAAUGAUUAAGUGACAUAGUUUGGGUUUAGAGACUGCAUUUAUAACAGAAAGCCUGCGUUGCAAACUGGGAACGUGAAGUUUGAAAAACGUAGUUGUUUACCAGGCAGGGAGGUGCUAAUAUAAGACUUUUUCCAGUUGCGUUAUGGGAAAUGUAGGAUCCAGUGUUUUGGGAGUUUGACCCAUACCAGGGACUAAAUGUCAGGUUAUCUUCACCUCUGCUGCACAGAUUUCUCUCGAUGUAAAGAGAGACACUAAAUUGCGGGAGUACUCCUUUAGGUUACUGCUAAUUCAAAGGGAUCACUUCCUGCUGCGCUUGUUUCAGCUUUGCAGCAACUUUAGGGAGUGCUUUGUACUUGUCAGCGCUGACGACUGCUAUCGUUCGUGCGUUGUUGGUAAAAACACCAAAAGGCAGCGGUUGGAUGAAGAGCAGCUCACCUCUAACUUCUCAGGAAACCAAUCUGUGCAUCACAAACCUGAUUACUCACGCUCUGAGUGUCCCAGCCCUGUUACUGAUCCGUUUCCAUCUCGUUCACACGUGAAGCUGAGGGGGCGUCUUUCAAGUCCUGCUGUGCCUUAGUGUCCCCCCCGACAAAACAUGAAACUUAUAGUCCUGAUAGUCAUGUUUAUGGUCAAAGAGCCCACAGACGUGUUCAGAUGUUAAAUCUGCAGACAGCACAGUGUCUGUCUGAACUGUAGAUCUUUGGCCACUGCUUUAGCCAACAGUGUCUUUGUGUCAACAGUUUGUGUUUGUCUCUUUUCUGUUUCAACAUGGCGAUGUCCCCGAGCACAAAGCAGCUCCAUAAAGAAAUGGUUUUUCCAGUUUGGUGUGGAGGAACCUGACUGGCCUGCAGAGAGCCCUGUGGAGAUGAACCGGAGUCGCUGUGUGUGUGAGCUGCUGUAAUCUGUUCAAAUUCACACAGUAAAUGUUCAACUUUCUAACAGUCA